rnacentral:rRNA from 1 species
GACAGAGGCCUCAAGCGUUAGGCGGAAUCACUGGGCUUAAAGCGUGUGUAGGCGGAUCGUUAAGUGCCUUGUGAAAUCCCACGGCUCAACCGUGGAACUGCUCGGCAUACUGGCGGUCUUGAGCCAUCUAGGGGUCGCUGGAACAAACGGUGGAGCGGUGAAAUGCGUAGAUAUCGUUUGGAACGCCUAUGGUGAAAACAGGCGACUGGGGAUGUGCUGACGCUGAGACACGAAAGCCAGGGGAGCAAACGGG